rnacentral:rRNA from 1 species
CCUCAAAUCAGGUAGGAUUACCCGCUGAACUUAAGCAUAUCAAUAAGCGGAGGAAAAGAAACUAACAAGGAUUCCCCUAGUAACUGCGAGUGAAGCGGGAAAAGCUCAAAUUUAAAAUCUGGUAGCCUUUGACUGCCCGAGUUGUAAUCUAGAGAAGCGUCAUCCGCACUGGACCGUGUGUAAGUCUCCUGGAAUGGAGCGUCAUAGAGGGUGAGAAUCCCGUCUUUAACACGGACUACCAGGGCUUUUGUGAUGCGCUCUCAAAGAGUCGAGUUGUUUGGGAAUGCAGCUCUAAAUGGGUGGUAAAUUCCAUCUAAAGCUAAAUAUUGGCGAGAGACCGAUAGCGAACAAGUACCGUGAGGGAAAGAUGAAAAGAACUUUGGAAAGAGAGUUAAACAGUACGUGAAAUUGUUGAAAGGGAAACGCUUGAAGUCAGUCGCGUUUGUCAGGGAUCAACCUUGCUCUUUUGCUUGGUGUACUUUCUGGCUAACGGGUCAGCAUCAAUUUUGACCAGUGGAGAAAGGUCAAGGGAAUGUAGCAUCUUAGGAUGUGUUAUAGCUCUUGUUCGUAUACAUUGGUUGGGAUUGAGGAACUCAGCAUGCCGCAAGGCCGGGUUUUUAAAACCACGUUCGUGCUUAGGAU